AGGGGUAUAGCCAAGUGGUAAGGCACCAGGUUUUGGUCCUGGCAUUCCUAGGUUCGAGUCCUAGUACCCCUG
rnacentral:tRNA from 1 species